GGCAGCAUGGUCUAGUGAUUAGGGCACUGGGCUGGGAGUCAGGAGACUUGGGUUUUAUUCCCAAUUCUGCCA
rnacentral:tRNA from 1 species